rnacentral:rRNA from 1 species
CAGCCGCCACGGGAAUACGGAGGGUGCAAGCGUUAAUCGGAAUUACUGGGCGUAAAGCGCACGCAGGCGGUCUGACAAGUCAGAUGUGAAAUCCCCGGGCUUAACCUGGGAACUGCAUUUGAAACUGUCAGGCUGGAGUCUUGUAGAGGGGGGUGGAAUUCCAGGUGUAGCGGUGAAAUGCGUAGAGAUCUGGAGGAAUACCGGUGGCGAAGGCGGCCCCCUGGACAAAGACUGACGCUCAGGUGCGAAAGCGUGGGGAGCAAACAGGAUUAGAUACCCCGGUAGUCCUUGUCUCUUAUAC